CCGGUGUAAAGGUGGCAUCAUAAACGACCUCUUCUGAGUUCAUGGACGUCAAAACUCUCGCGAAAAUUUUCUUUCUCGUCUUACUUUCAACUUCAUCCAUCUCAUCUGCAACAUCAAGAACAAUUUCCGGUACAACAAACGAAUUUAGGGGCAACGAUACCCAUGUUUCAGAGGUAAAGGUACACCCAAGUCCCAUCUGGUCACCAAGAUCAAGGGCAAUGGAUGUUCCUUCUCCAAUCGGCUUUUGAUGUUGAUAAUCCAAAAUCAGACGAAACUUCAGGAUUUGGAUAGGGAGUUGCUUCUUUUUAUUGUAUUUUCUUUGGGCUGGGAGGUUGCUUCUUUUUGUGUUUAUUUAAUUUUUUUUUUGUUCUGUAA